CAACAUAUUGUAAGAAAAUAUUUUACUUAUUAGAUUGUACCAACAAAUUUUACUAGCUCUGAUACACUUUCUGCUCUAUUACAUAAGUAAAAUAGUAUUUAAGCAUUCCAUUAUUUUUCUAACAAUAUAGUAUUCACUAAUAAGUUUGACCAUCUACUGAUAUUUACUGCAAAUUGAAUGAAUGUUUCCCACUGCUUCCAUUUUCCAGUUAUUUUAUUACAAAUUUGUCGUUCAUUUGCGUCACCUUUUAAAGUAUCUAGUUUAUGCUUUAAAAUCUUUUGAAAGAUGAUAAUGAUAUAGUUAGAGCGUUAGUAAAUUCAUAGUUGUAUUACUUCCUUUUUCGGACAUAAAUUUGCAUCAGACGAAUAGGAGACCUUGAUGAAAGUAACAUGAAACCCGAUGUUAUGGCUUAAUAUUCGACAUUGCGGGAGACACUUCUAACUCUUUCCACGGUGCAAUUUUCGUUUGAACAACUGCGUGCCGGGUAAAAUAAUUAGAGGAUCGUGUUUCCAAUCGAUUCAGUAGCGCUAAACAAGCAUUGACGAUGAAAGAGGUACCACGUAUACAUGAUACAAAAUCACCUCCUUAAUUUGAGCAGCGCGCGUUUCUUUGGAAUCUUGCAGUGUGCUACUUUGCGAGCAGUUCAAAUAAGUACAAGGACCAAUUCUCGAUUAUCAACGCUGUGCAAACUGAAAUUUAUCUUUGAAAAAAGGAGAUUUUCGAAAACAAAUUUUCAAUUGCAAAUCUUAUCGCUAUGUAGAGUAAAUAUAUGAAUGGAAAAGAUUCACCCAGUACCAAAUACGUCUAAACGAUUCAGAAGAACAAAACCAUUUUCAUAAUAUACUACUCAAAUAUAUAUUGUACAUAAUUAACCCUGAAAUAUUAUACAUACAGAGAAUCUUUGUUAUAUUAUAUUGAGAAAUUGAAUA